GACGAACGCUGGCGGCGUGCCUAAUACAUGCAAGUUGAGCGAUGAAGCUUGGUGCUUGCACCCAUUUGAAGAGCAGCGAACGGGUGAGUAACGCGUGGGGAAUCUGCCUUUGAGCGGGGGACAACAUUUGGAAACGAAUGCUAAUACCGCAUAACAACUUUAAACAUAAGUUUUAAGUUUGAAAGAUGCAAUUGCAUCACUCAAAGAUGAUCCCGCGUUGUAUUAGCUAGUUGGUGAGGUAAAGGCUCACCAAGGCGAUGAUACAUAGCCGACCUGAGAGGGUGAUCGGCCACAGUGGGACUGAGACACGGCCCAAACGCCUACGGGAGGCAGCAGUAGGGAAUCUUCGGCAAUGGACGAAAGUCUGACCGAGCAACGCCGCGUGAGUGAAGAAGGGUUUCGGAUCGUAAAACUCUGUUGGUAGAGAAGAACGUUGGUGAGAGUGGAAAGCUCAUCAAGUGACAGUAACUACCCAGAAAGGGACGGCUAACUACGUG
rnacentral:rRNA from 1 species